GACCAAAUAACUCAGUGGUUAGAGCACCCAGUUGAAACUUGGGAGGUCCAGGGUUCAAUCCCCUUCUGGUCG
rnacentral:tRNA from 1 species